rnacentral:rRNA from 1 species
UUAAUGGCAGAUAAAGUGUUGCCAAGUGGCACACAGUGGCCCANNUGUCAGGUGCCCGUCUAUUACAGCGACCGUGCGGUAAGUACGCGCAUCCGGGCUUUUAUCGAUUUCCUUAGCGAGCAUGUAAAAACAGCUCCCGGAGGAGCUGUCAGAGAGGCUUAAUCCCAUUCAGGAGCCAGACCUUCCGGGCUAACCAGGCGGUCGUUGCAAUCCAGUGCGGCGAUCGCUUUUUUAUCCUUCCCGGCAUCAACGCUGUAAAUUUUGUGCCUUAAGAUUACUUUCCAAUUCCAGGUGUAGCGGUGAAAUGCGUAGAGAUCUGGAGGAAUACCGGUGUGCGAAUGCGGCCCCCUGGUACGAAGACUGACGCUCAGGUGCGAAAGCGUUGGGAGCAAACAGGAUUAGAUACCCUGGUAGUCCACGCCGUAAACGAUGUCGACUUGGAGGUUGUGCCCUUGAGGCGUGGCUUCCGGAGCUAACGCGUUAAGUCGACCGCCUGGGGAGUACGGCCGCAAGGUUAAAACUCAAAUGAAUUGACGGGGGCCCGCACAAGCGGUGGAGCAUGUGGUUUAAUUCGAUGCAACGCGAAGAACCUUACCUGGUCUUGACAUCCACAGAACUUUCCAGAGAUGGAUUGGUGCCUUCGGGAACUGUGAGACAGGUGCUGCAUGGCUGUCGUCAGCUCGUGUUGUGAAAUGUUGGGUUAAGUCCCGCAACGAGCGCAACCCUUAUCUUUUGUUGCCAGCGGUCCGGCCGGGAACUCAAAGGAGACUGCCAGUGAUAAACUGGAGGAAGGUGGGGAUGACGUCAAGUCAUCAUGGCCCUUACGACCACGGCUACACACGUGCUACAAUGGCGCAUACAAAGAGAAGCGACCUCGCGAGAGCAAGCGGACCUCAUAAAGUGCGUCGUAGUCCGGAUUGGAGUCUGCAACUCGACUCCAUGAAGUCGGAAUCGCUAGUAAUCGUGGAUCAGAAUGCCACGGGUGAAUACGUUCCCGGGCCUUGUCCACGCCGUCACACAGGAGUGGUGCAA